UACAGAGGGGGCAAGCGUUGUUCGGAAUUACUGGGCGUAAAGGGCGCGUAGGCGGCCUUCUAAGUCGAACGUGAAAUCCCCGGGCUCCAACCCGGGAACUGCGUCCGAUACUGGAUGGCUUGAGUGCGGGAGAGGGAUGUGGAAUUCCAGGUGUAGCGGUGAAAUGACGUAGAUAUCUGGAGGAACACCGGUGGCGAAGGCGGCAUCCUGGACCGACACUGACGCUGAGUGCGCGAAAGCCAGGGGAGCAAAGCGGGAU
rnacentral:rRNA from 1 species